GUUGCUGUAUUUUCUCCAGUGCUGCCAAAGCAAAUGCAUGCUUGGAGCUCUUUCCAAAAUUUUGUGACACAGUGGGCGAGUUGCUUGGGGAGAUGGAGGAAGGAGGGGUGAAGAGUUGGGGGGAACUCUGGG
rnacentral:miRNA from 1 species